rnacentral:rRNA from 1 species
AUGGCGCCGGAGCCAGAGGACGACUUCCUGAACGAGAAGAACCCGAGGCCGCUCGACGAGGACGACAUCGCCCUCCUCAAGACCUACGGGCUUGGGCCGUACUCGAACAGCAUCAAGAAGGUCGAGAAGGAGAUAAAGGAGAUGGCCAAGAAGAUAAACGACCUGUGCGGGAUAAAGGAGUCUGAUACUGGGUUGGCUCCACCAAGCCAGUGGGAUCUUGUGUCAGAUAAACAGAUGAUGCAAGAGGAGCAACCACUGCAGGUCGCUCGAUGCACGAAGAUCAUAAGUCCAAAUACUGAUGAUGCCAAAUAUGUCAUCAAUGUCAAGCAAAUCGCAAAGUUUGUGGUUGGUCUGGGGGACAAAGUUUCGCCCACUGAUAUUGAGGAAGGAAUGAGAGUUGGGGUUGAUCGAAAUAAGUACCAGAUUCAAAUUCCUUUGCCACCCAAGAUUGAUCCAAGUGUUACAAUGAUGACAGUUGAAGAAAAGCCGGACGUGACAUAUAAUGAUGUUGGUGGCUGCAAGGAGCAGAUUGAGAAGAUGCGGGAGGUUGUGGAGCUUCCUAUGCUUCACCCCGAGAAGUUCGUCAAGCUGGGUAUUGAUCCUCCAAAGGGAGUACUUUGCUAUGGUCCUCCAGGAACUGGAAAGACUCUUCUUGCCAGGGCAGUGGCCAAUCGGACCGAUGCAUGUUUUAUCCGCGUGAUAGGCAGUGAGUUGGUCCAGAAGUAUGUUGGUGAAGGGGCAAGGAUGGUUCGUGAGCUCUUCCAGAUGGCUCGGUCAAAGAAGGCAUGCAUUGUCUUCUUUGAUGAGGUUGAUGCCAUUGGUGGUGCUCGCUUUGACGACGGUGCUGGGGGUGACAAUGAGGUCCAGCGCACCAUGCUCGAGAUUGUCAAUCAGCUCGAUGGGUUUGAUGCGAGAGGAAACAUCAAGGUCCUCAUGGCCACAAACAGGCCUGAUACGUUGGACCCGGCACUGUUGCGUCCUGGGCGGCUGGACAGGAAGGUUGAGUUUGGCUUGCCAGACCUGGAGGGCCGCACCCAGAUCUUCAAGAUCCACACACGCGCGAUGAACUGUGAGCGGGACAUCCGGUUUGAGCUGCUUGCUCGCCUCUGCCCCAACUCCACUGGUGCCGAUAUCCGGAGCGUGUGCACAGAGGCGGGAAUGUACGCCAUCCGUGCGCGCAGGAAGACCGUCACGGAGAAGGACUUCCUUGAUGCUGUCAACAAGGUCAUCAAGGGUUACCAAAAGUUUAGCGCCACCCCGAAGUAUAUGGUGUAUAAUUAG